AAAAAAAACAAAUUGGUUUUUUAGUCUUAAAAAGUCAAGCUUUUCUACUUUCUUUGCAGGUUUUACUCUGUUAAGAGUAUUUUCUACGGAUAUAUCAAAGAUGUAGAAAGCAAGGUUUUGUGAAGCUCAAAUUAUUGCAGAUUCAACAUUUGACUUUUUCAGUCAUAGGUCAAACUCAUAAAAAUAAAGAAACGAAAUAUUGAAAAUUGAAACAAGGAGUUGCUGAAGUAAAUUUGUAAUGUUUAAUAUUGAUUUGUGUGUUGGGAAGAACUAAAGGAGUUGCUGAAGAAUACACUUUAAUUGGGCCUGAUCAAAAGAAAAAAAGGUUUGGACUCGACGGGGCCGUAGGUACGUUUAAUUGGGUGGCAGAAGAGGAACUUGGGUUGUUGGUGUUGUUCUUGAAAUCCUGCUUUUUGAUGUAUUAUACUGGUUGCCUACUUUUACUCCUUGGAAUGGAAUUUUGAUUGCUUCA